rnacentral:rRNA from 1 species
GACGAACGCUGGCGGUGUGCUUAACACAUGCAAGUGGAACGACGAACCCCGGCUUGCCCUGGGGCAGAGUCGCGAACGGGUGAGUAACACGUGGGUAACGUACCCCGAAUUCCGGGACAACCCCCGGAAACGCGGGCUAAUACCGGAUGUGUUCCCCUCCCACGACGGCUGCGGGUGACAGGAGCUUUCGGCUUCGGAUCGGGUGACGCCCGCGCCCUAUUUGUUUGUUGGUGGGGUAACGGCCUACCAAGACUGCGAUAGGUAGCUGGUCUGGGAGGACGAUCAGCCACACUGGGACGGAGACACGGCCCAGACUCCUACGGGAGGCAGCAGUGGGGAAUCUUGCGCAAUGCGCGAGAGCGUGACGCAGCAACACCGCGUGGGGGAAGAAGGCCUUCGGGUUGUAAACCCCUUUCAGGAGGGACGAAGGCCGGCCGGUGAAGAGCCGUGCCGGUUGACGGUACCUCCACAAGAAGCCCCGGCUAACUACGUG